rnacentral:sRNA from 18 species
CCUUAUUAGUUAAGGGCCUUCUAUCGAUCAUGUCGGGUGUUUAGCCAGACUAUAAUUUAUUGAUCACA